UACGUAGGGUGCGAGCGUUAAUCGGAAUUACUGGGCGUAAAGCGUGCGCAGGCGGUUCUUUAAGUCAGGUGUGAAAGCCCUGGGCUUAACCUAGGAAUUGCGCUUGAGACUGGAUAGCUUGGAGUGCGGCAGAGGGAGGUGGAAUUCCACGUGUAGCAGUGAAAUGCGUAGAUAUCAGGAGGAACACCGAUGGCGAAGGCAGGUCUCUGGGCCGACACUGACGCUCAUGCACGAAAGCGUGGGGAGCAAACAGG
rnacentral:rRNA from 1 species